rnacentral:rRNA from 1 species
UACGGAGGGUGCAAGCGUUAUCCGGAUUCACUGGGUUUAAAGGGUGCGUAGGUGGGACAGUAAGUCAGUGGUGAAAUCCCCGAGCUUAACUUGGGAACUGCCGUUGAUACUAUUGUUCUUGAAUAUCGUGUAGGUAAGCGGAAUAUGUCAUGUAGCGGUGAAAUGCUUAGAUAUGACAUAGAACACCAAUUGCGAAGGCAGCUUACUUUACGAUGAUUGACACUGAGGCACGAAAGCGUGGGGAGCAAAC